GGUGAGGUAACGGCUCACCAAGGCGACGAUGCGUAGCCGACCUGAGAGGGUGAUCGGCCACACUGGGACUGAGACACGGCCCAGACUCCUACGGGAGGCAGCAGUAGGGAAUCUUCGGCAAUGGGCGAAAGCCUGACCGAGCAACGCCGCGUGAGCGAUGAAGGCCUUCGGGUCGUAAAGCUCUGUUGUUAGAGAAGAACAAGUACGAGAGUAACUGCUCGUACCUUGACGGUACCUAACCAGAAAGCCACGGCUAACUACGUGCCAGCAGCCGCGGUAAUACGUAGGUGGCAAGCGUUAUCCGGAAUUAUUGGGCGUAAAGCGCGCGCAGGCGGUCUCUUAAGUYUGAUGUGAAAGCCCMCGGCUCAACCGUGGAGGGUCAUUGGAAACUGGGAGACUUGAGUGCAGGAGAGAAAAGUGGAAUUCCACGUGUAGCGGUGAAAUGCGUAGAGAUGUGGAGGAACACCAGUGGCGAAGGCGGCUUUUUGGCCUGUAACUGACGCUGAGGCGCGAAAGCGUGGGGAGCAAACAGGAUUAGAUACCCUGGUAGUCCMCGCCGUAAACGAUGAGUGCUAGGUGUUGGGGGGUUCCACCCUCAGUGCUGAAGUUAACACAUUAAGCACUCCGCCUGGGGAGUACGACCGCAAGGUUGAAACUCAAAGGAAUUGACGGGGGCCCGCACAAGCAGUGGAGCAUGUGGUUUAAUUCGAAGCAACGCGAAGAACCUUACCAGGUCUUGACAUCCUUUGACCACUCUAGAGAUAGAGCUUUCCCCUU
rnacentral:rRNA from 1 species